AAUGCAUCCAGUUUUGGGAUCAAGCACAGAAGCAAGGCUACAGCAGAAGUGAUGAAAAGCCAACCAAAAUCAAACAUCUCAUUUUGGUCAGUGGAAGGCGACUGUGGGAAUUCAUGACGCAAAAGGGAGUCUAAGAGCUGUCACUUAGAAGGGAAAAAGGACGGGUGGAAUUAGAAGCUCAGCAGAUUCUGAAUCUAAUCUUGAAGCUUGCUGACCCAGAACUAAAGCAUGACCUGGAGAACAGAUUGUGCUUGAUUUCAGUGACUAAUCAAAGUUGUCAGCUAUACAGAUGUGAAGUAAAGUUUAUUUCAAAGGGAAGAGAACACAGCAUCUAAAAACCUGUACCUGAACUCAAGAGGUUGGUCCAUUCAUCCUACAAGCCUAAGCGCACAAAGCCUUCAGCCUUGCAACACUGAGCUGGGUAUACCAUGGAGCAUGCAUACAACCCCUUGCUGCUGUCACAGCAUUUAGGCCUCACAGAGGAAGAAGAGAUUUUUCCUUCCUUGGACAUCAUCAUUCUCAUGGCAAUCCUCUUUAGGAGCAGUGGGAUGGCACCUUCUACUAACUCUCCUUAUAGGACUAUUCAGGACUGCUGCAUCAUGACCACUUCCAACACCAGUUGUGCUUCCUUUUCAAGCCUCUUCUCUCCUGUAUGUGUCUUCCUAAAAUGA
rnacentral:lncRNA from 1 species